AAGGCCAACCUAGUCUACAAAGCUAGUUCUACAGAGGACAGCUAGGCCUGUUACACAGAGAAACCUUGUCUUGAAAAAAGAAAAAAACUGGGAGGAGAAAUCAGAAUAUCCAAGAGUCUAUCUCCCAUAUAAUCAAUUGAGCUAUCUUACGCAACUAAUCGUCUAGGCCUCAAUUUUAACAUCUUGAGUUCUUUGUCUAGCACUCAACAUCUAGUAAUAAACACCGUGCACUGCCAUGUACUCUGAUUAUCACACAAAUUACCUAGAGUCUACAGCCAAUAAGAACUGAAAAAGUCAAAUCUUGUAAUUGAGGCCUUACUCCUAUGACCAGAAAAGGAGUCAGCAAGACUUCCACCUUCAGAAUCUAACUUAUUUCAAAGCACCAUUUUACAGAUGGUAAUUUCAGAACAGUAUGUAAUUAGAACACAAAACCUUCUCCCCCACAAAAAAAAAAAAAUAAUCCAAUCUUAACUCCACAAUGAUGAGUACUAUCUGGGUAUACUUCAGGAAUUUCCUGAACAAAUAAUAUCAAUCUAUUAUGUAAGUUAAUAUAUCUGAAAUAGUGAAAAUUCUCAAAUAACUAAUAAAAUAUUCUUUAUUAAAAACAAAAAUGUUACCUGCUAUAUACUGGGACAUAUUGUAAGGAUCAGAUGCUAUUGCAAUUGCUGAAAUUGCUAUCAUUUGCACAAGUAUAUGACUUGGCUAAGAGAACUCUGCACUAAAACUCAGAGGAAUGACACACGAAGCCACUCAUCAUUUGAUAAAGGAUUAAAUAAAGCCUUGACUCCAAAUUUUGAACUUUUAGUAUUUCUAAGGAGAGAUUGCAGAGUAACUGCUUGAACCUGACCUGCUUCUCUGAAUACAACUGCGAACAGCAGCUCCAUUAAUAAUAGUACAAAUCAAGGUAAAUUAAAUAAAAAGAAGUCAUGAUAGAGCCUCCAAGAUACUGGCAGAAUCAACCAUAGUAAGCACUAUUCUUUGCUCUUCAUCCCUAAUGAUACCUUAAAUUACCUGAAUGCCAAAUUCAAGGCACAUAAAAGACAUAGAUUUCACUCAGGACAUAUAAACAGCCUAGUCUAAACUGGAAAACAUGCUUUUGAUAAAUUACCUGUACAAUAUUACUCUAUAUAGCUGAAGUCACUCUUGUGCCAAAUCUAAAUAUCACUGCUUUUUUUUUUUCAGUUCAAGUUUAGAAUAUUUUGCAUUUUCUUUUGUGGGGGGUAGGAGUGGUGGUAUUCAAGAUAGGGUUUCUGUGUGUCACAGAGCCCUGGCUGUCCUAGAACUGUAGACCAGGCUAGGCUGCCCUCCACAGAUAUCCACCUGCCUCUAUUUCCUGAGUGCUGAGAUUAAUAAAGGUAUGAGUCACCAUUUUACAUUCUUAAAUUACUCAAAAGAAACACAGUAUUUUGUUUCCCCAUGUGAAAAUUUGCAUGAAAUCUACAUUUAUAUUUCCAUAUUUUCUAAUAUAACAUAGCAAAUUUUACUUAUUUCUGUAUUUUCUACAUGGCCUCUAUCACUUGGAUCUAACCAAAAUAUAAGACAUGUUGACGUAGAAACACUUCCCCCGUGCACUCCAGUGAAACUUUCAUCUGUUUCAUCUAAUCAUCUGGCCUCACUUUCUCUUUUUCCUCAGCAGAUGAAUGGAGUGGGCAUCAAAAGAAACAAAGAAAGUGAAGAAGUCAGGAAAUGAAGUGAAGCCUUUUCCUGACAUUCAUAAUCAAAACUUGGCAAAGAGGAGCUGCCAAUUACUUUUAGCUUCUUCACAUUCCACUGACUUUUCUUGUGAAUCAAAGAAAAACAUGCAUUCUUUAGUCCAUAAUGAGUUUCAAGUGAAUCAUGCCAGUGAGAGUAUUCAUUUAAAACAAAUCAUUCUUUCCACUUGUUUACAGCCUUCUAAAAAGCAACUGGCCAUUACAGGAAAAAUAUUUUUCAAUGUCUCGGUAGCACUAAUAACAUUAUUUGCUAACUCCUAUUAAUUCCAGGUAAUUCUGGAACAGUUGGAUACUUAGCAAUAGAAAAUAAAUUACAAUAAAAAUUCGUAAGUGGUAAGUAUACACGGCAAUGAGGCUAUAUACUAGGAGAAUAAAGAACUACCAUAUAAGUAGUGAAGCAUGGAAAUCAAAACCACUGGACAGCUGCGACGAAAACAAGAGACAAAAGCUGAAAACCAAAUGACUACGAAGAAUGUGAAUUAAGAAAAUAAUUUUUUUGUUUGUUUGUUUGUUUCUCUUUCGAGACAGGGUUUCUCUGUAGCUUUGAAUCCUAUCCUAGAACUUGCUCUGUAGACUAGACUGGCCUUGAACUCACAAAGUUCCACCUAUCCCUGCCUCCCAAGUGCUCGGCCCAGCUAAAAAAAAAGACUUACUAUAUUUUUAUUAGAGGUAAGUAGAAUAAAAACAUGAAGAUUUGAGAAGACAGGAAGAAACACAAUGGCCAAACACUUGAUUAACCUGUGUAUAAACUAGUAAGCACUGCUUAGUAUCUUUCAAAGGGGAAUGUCCCUUUACUUUUAGAAUAUGCCCUAGCUGGUCUUCCACAGGAAACAUGAGUUUACUUCUCAGCAUGCAUGUCAAAUGGCUCACAAAACUGCCUGUUACUGAAUGUCUUCUUCUAGCCUGUCACAGGCACCCACACACAUACAUACAUUACACACACACACACACACACACACACACACACACACACACAGAGCUGAUUAAAUCUAAAUACAAUCAAAGCUAAUAAAGCUAAUGCAUAAAACACAUUUGACAAAGCAGAAUACAUGUCCAUGCCAAAAACAUUAAUAAAAGGAAACCAGGUGAAGAAACCAGCAGGCUUUCAGACUCCAGUUUGAGAACAUGAAUAACCACACCCAGGGAUGAAGAGACGGCUCAGUGGUUAACAGAUUGCUCUUCCAAAGGAUCCAGGCUUGACUCUCAGCACCAACAAACCGGAACACAAUCAACUUUAACACCCAGGGGAAUCCAACACACUCCUUUGGCCUCUACGGGCACCAAGACAUGCUGUAAGUGGUACGCAGACAUACAUUCAGACAGAACACACAUAACUCUGAUUUAAAAAAUAAAAGGAAAAAGAACACCUACUUUCAUCACAUCUGAGUGACACAAUAUGGUCUCCAGACAUAGCAAUCAGGUAAGAAAAAGAUAAAGGGACAUCUGGGGAAUUGGAAAGACUGGGGAGACGGCUCAAUGGUUAAGAAGAGCAUUGGUGGUUCUUUUGGAGCACACACAUGGCAGCUCACAAGUGUCUGUAACUCCAAUUCCGGGGGAUCUGAUACCUUCACACAGACAUACACGCAGGGAAAACACAAACGGGCGAGAAAUUAAGAUAAUUUUUCACACAAAGACACUUGGGGUAAGACGGGAGAUAACAAGCUGCUGGCAUGCGAUAAUGGAAUAAAGAGAGCCAGGGUAGCAAGGAGUGAAUCCAACUCCUUAGAGAGAAAGGGCAUGCAAUAAUGGAAUAAAGAGAGCCAGGGUAGCAAGGAGUGAAUCCAAUUCCUAAGAGAGAAAGGGCAUGCGAUAGUGGAAUAAAGAGAGUCAGGGUAGCAAGGAGUGAAUCCAAUUCCUAAGAGAGAAAGGGCAUGCAAUAAUGGAAUAGAGAGAGCCAGGGUAGCAAGGAGUGAAUCCAAUUCCUAAGAGAGAAAGAACACUGGAAACCACAAGAGGCUUUACAACAGGCGAGAAACAAAGAAAAGGGCUGCCUGGCAAAACAGCAGCAAGUUGUUCUAGUCAAACAAUGGGGUGCUGAUAGGGGUCAUCUAAUCCACAAUGGCGCUGAUUAAAAAGACACUGUAGUGUUGGUCACAGGACAAGCAACUGUACUCAGAAAGCUUAAUUCAACUUGGAGGUUCUGGAAUGACACUGAAUUAUUCUAAGUCAUUCUGGAACUGCAUUCUGGAGAACUACAGUCAGGUUUCAGGAGAAGGAACCUACAUCCGUUUGAGAAUGACCUACUGUGGUGGCUGAAAACAAGGAACAAUCACAGAGACAAUUCUAAGACUACUUUCUCACAUUUGCAAGAAAGUUCUUUAGAAGUCUCAAGUGGACAAGCCAUCAUCUCUUUUAUACAAGACAGAAGUUGUUACACGAAAAAGACCAUUCAACAACACCAACCUCACUCUGGCCAUAGCUGUGUAAUGUGUGUGCAGAACUACUUGCUUUAAAUGCCCACAAGAACAUUUUGAGUUGAACAUGUAUGCACUGGGUAUAAAUAAGAAACAGUGGUUCACAGCAAUAGACCCAGCACUGGAGCAGGGAGGAUAAGAAGGAUAAGAAGCGAAGAUCAUCCUCAACUACAAGGAAUUGAGACGAGCCUGGGCUAUAUAAGACAUUGUCUUUAAAAAAAAAUAAGUAAAUAAAUAAAUCACCAAGAAAUAAAGCCUCUUGGGAGGGAUAAGCACACAACCAAGAAUUCAAGGUAGCCUGGACUAUACAAUCAGGUACAGUAUAUCCGGGCUAUGUAGCUUGAUUCUUUUCAAACAACUACUACUGCUACUACCUCCAUCCCAUACAACAUGUCACCAACUGGAGAAGAUCUACAAGGCUCCGCAAUACAAAGAACUUAAAAUAUUUUUUUCAAACUGGGGCUGUAGACCACUGGUAGAUAUCCUACCUAGCAUGUUAAAGGCCCAGCACUCCAUCCCCAGCAAUGCAAAACCAAAUUUGAAGUAUUUCGUUUUUGAAUGUUUGAUUUCUAUCAACAUAAUGAGAUCUGUGCUACACUGCUCAAAUGAUGCUGACAGGUCCAGAAGACCAACUUCUGAAAUUGCACUGAGAGGCUAAGAUCAGGACAUGCAACACAAGGAAGAUUUUAUCCUGCUCAUGUCACAGAUGUUCAACAUCUAUACACUUCUGUGCUUUUACUUCAAACAAAGACGCCAGCUUCGCUAAGACCUACAUAGGUCUCUCUUCCAUAAAUCAAAUGCAAUUUCUUAAUGCAAGCUCCUACUCAUAUUUGCCACAAUGGAUCUUCAAGAAUGAGUCUAUCUAGUGUGGUACUGUCACUCAUAAAACUUGUUCAUAAAAAUGA